rnacentral:rRNA from 1 species
UGCCUAAGGUAUGCAAGUCGAAUGCCGAUUUAUCGGCAUGGCAGACGGCUGAGUAACACGUGGGAAUCUACCCUAAACACGGGAAUAGCCCACCGAAAGGUGGUGUANAUACCCGAUACAUCUUCGGAUGAAAGCUCCGGCGGUUUAGGAUGAGCCCGCGUCCUAUCAGGUUGUUGGUGGGGUAAAUGCCUACCAAGCCUAUGACGGGUAGCUGGUCUUAGCGGAUGAUCAGCCAGACUGGGACUGCGACACGGCCCAGACUCCUACGGGAGGCAGCAACUAGGAAUCAUGCGCAAUGGACGAAAGUCUGACGCUGCGACGUCGCGUGGAGGAUGAAGGUCUUCGGAUUGUAAACUCCUUUUAUCUGGGAACAAGUUCUGAGUGUACCAGAUGAAUAAGUGCCUGCUAACCACGUGCCAGAAGCGUCGGUAAUACGUGGGGCACAAGCGUUAUCCGGAUUUACUGGGCGUAAAGAGAUGCGUAGGCGUCUUGGAAAGUUCUUUGUUAAAUCUCCCUGCUCAACGGGGAAAUCGCAUAGAAAACUUCUGAGAUUGAGUCAGAUAGAGAAAGGGGGAAUUCCUGGUGGAGCGGUUAAAUGCGUUGAUAUCAGGAGGAACACCAAUGGCGAAGGCACCCUUUUGGAUCUCGACUGACGCUAAGGCUCGAAAGCGUGGGUAGCAAAACGGAUUAGAUACCCGUGUAGUCCACGCUGUAAACGAUCCCUGUUAGAUGUU